rnacentral:rRNA from 1 species
UACGAGGGGGGCUAGCGUUGUUCGGAAUUAUUGGGCGUAAAGGGCGCGUAGGCGGUUUGUUAAGUCGGUUGUGAAAGCCCGGGGCUCAACCCCGGAGAGUCGACCGAUACUGGCAAACUAGAGUACAGAAGAGGUAGCUGGAAUUCCUGGUGUAGCGGUGAAAUGCGUAGAUAUCAGGAGGAACACCUGAGGCGAAGGCGGGCUACUGGGCUGAUACUGACGCUGAGGCGCGAAAGCCAGGGGAGCAAACGGG